GAUUAGGGCUAGUAGCCUCUUCCCUUAAAACAAAUGUUUACCUUUUUGUUUACUUCAAAAAGUUGCUAAAGCACCCUGAAUAUAUUAGAUAAGAACGAAGUUUAUAAAAGAAAACAAAUCAAACUACAAAUACUUGAACCUAUAGUAAAGAAGGCCUUUUUUCUAAAAAUUCUAGCUCUAGUAACUACUGUUUUUAAACCAAAACAAAUAACAGAAGCAAAUGUAGCAUUUACACAUUCAAUGGCAACAUUAACAACCAUAUUUAUCAUUAUGCAGAUACCAAAAUGUUGAGCUUAGUUCAAAGCAUCCAUCCACGUAUAAAUCCAUUCACUUUGAGCAUUCUAUGUAUCAUAUUGCAUACUUUGUUCACCUUCAUCCCAUUGUCUGUAUUGGUUUCUUGAAUUGAUUUCUUCCAGCUUCAUGGCCAAACCUCUAUUUGUUUCUACCAGCAAUUGUUCCUUAUUUU